GAUUGAACGCUGGCGGCAUGCCUUACACAUGCAAGUCGAACGGUAACAGGUCUUCGGAUGCUGACGAGUGGCGAACGGGUGAGUAAUAUAUCGGAACGUGCCCAGUCGUGGGGGAUAACGCAGCGAAAGCUGUGCUAAUACCGCAUACGAUCUAUGGAUGAAAGCGGGGGAUCGCAAGACCUCGCGCGAUUGGAGCGGCCGAUAUCAGAUUAGGUAGUUGGUGGGGUAAAGGCCCACCAAGCCAACGAUCUGUAGCUGGUCUGAGAGGACGACCAGCCACACUGGAACUGAGACACGGUCCAGACUCCUACGGGAGGCAGCAGUGGGGAAUUUUGGACAAUGGGCGCAAGCCUGAUCCAGCAAUGCCGCGUGCAGGAUGAAGGCCUUCGGGUUGUAAACUGCUUUUGUACGGAACGAAAAGGCUCUGGUUAAUACCUGGGGCUCAUGACGGUACCGUAAGAAUAAGCACCGGCUAACUACGUG
rnacentral:rRNA from 1 species